AUUGAACGCUGGCGGCAUGCCUAACACAUGCAAGUCGAACGGUAACAGGCCCUUCGGGGUGCUGACGAGUGGCGGAUGGGUGAGUAAUACUUAGGAAUCUACCCUGUAGUGGGGGACAACCCGGGGAAACUCGGGCUAAUACCGCAUACGCUCUACGGAGGAAAGCGGGGGACCGCAAGGCCUCGCGCUAUUGGAUGAGCCUAAGCCCGAUUAGCUAGUUGGUGGGGUAAUAGCCUACCAAGGCAAUGAUCGGUAGCUGGUCUGAGAGGACGACCAGCCACACUGGGACUGAGACACGGCCCAGGACUCCUACGGGAGGCAGCAGGUGGGGAAUAGUUGGACAAUGGGCGAAAGCCUGAUCCAGCGAUGCCGCGU
rnacentral:rRNA from 1 species